rnacentral:rRNA from 1 species
GAUGAACGCUGGCGGCGUGCCUAAUACACGCAAGUCGAGCGAAUGGAUUAAGAGCUUGCUCUUAUGAAGUUAGCGGCGGACGGGUGAGUAACACGUGGGUAACCUGCCCAUAAGACUGGGAUAACUCCGGGAAACCGGGGCUAAUACCGGAUAACAUUUUGAACCGCAUGGUUCGAAAUUGACAGGCGGCUUCGGCUGUCACUUAUGGAUGGACCCGCGUCGCAGUAGCUAGUUGGUGAGGUAACGGCUCACCAAGGCAACGAUGCGUAGCCGACCUGAGAGGGUGAUCGGCCACACUGGGACUGAGACACGGCCCAGACUCCUACGGGAGGCAGCAGUAGGGAAUCUUCCGCAAUGGACGAAAGUCUGACGGAGCAACGCCGCGUGAGUGAUGAAGGCUUUCAGGUCGUAAAACUCUGUUGUUAGGGAAGAACAAGUGCUAGUUGAAUAAGCUGGCACCUUGACGGUACCUAACCAGAAAGCCACGGCGAACUACGUGCCAGCCGCCGCGGUAA